rnacentral:tRNA from 1 species
CGGGGCGUAGCUCAGCCUGGCUAGAGCGCCAGCUUUGGGAGCUGGAAGUCGUGGGUUCGAAUCCCGCCGCCCCGACCA